CCCAUCCCAAAAAGAGAGGGGUUUUCUCUCUCAGGACGAACGCUGGCGGCGUGCCUAAUACAUGCAAGUUGAGCGCUGAAGGUUGGUACUUGUACCAACUGGAUGAGCAGCGAACGGGUGAGUAACGCGUGGGGAAUCUGCCUUUGAGCGGGGGACAACAUUUGGAAACGAAUGCUAAUACCGCAUAAAAACUUUAAACACAAGUUUUAAGUUUGAAAGAUGCAAUUGCAUCACUCAAAGAUGAUCCCGCGUUGUAUUAGCUAGUUGGUGAGGUAAAGGCUCACCAAGGCGAUGAUACAUAGCCGACCUGAGAGGGUGAUCGGCCACAUUGGGACUGAGACACGGCCCAAACUCCUACGGGAGGCAGCAGUAGGGAAUCUUCGGCAAUGGACGAAAGUCUGACCGAGCAACGCCGCGUGAGUGAAGAAGGUUUUCGGAUCGUAAAACUCUGUUGGUAGAGAAGAACGUUGGUGAGAGUGGAAAGCUCAUCAAGUGACGGUAACUACCCAGAAAGGGACGGCUAACUACGUGCCAGCAGCCGCGGUAAUACGUAGGUCCCGAGCGUUGUCCGGAUUUAUUGGGCGUAAAGCGAGCGCAGGUGGUUUAUUAAGUCUGGUGUAAAAGGCAGUGGCUCAACCAUUGUAUGCAUUGGAAACUGGUAGACUUGAGUGCAGGAGAGGAGAGUGGAAUUCCAUGUGUAGCGGUGAAAUGCGUAGAUAUAUGGAGGAACACCGGUGGCGAAAGCGGCUCUCUGGCCUGUAACUGACACUGAGGCUCGAAAGCGUGGGGAGCAAACAGGAUUAGAUACCCUGGUAGUCCACGCCGUAAACGAUGAGUGCUAGAUGUAGGGAGCUAUAAGUUCUCUGUAUCGCAGCUAACGCAAUAAGCACUCCGCCUGGGAGAGCC
rnacentral:rRNA from 2 species